rnacentral:rRNA from 1 species
CGAGAUCAUACGAACGUUGUCGAGAAGGUUUACUGGCUUCUCUUCCUUCGGGGGGAGCGCAAACGUGCACGCCUGGAUCGCAAAUUCCCCUUCACACCUGUGCACAUCCCGUAGCUUUGUGGGUGCCGGACGGAUCUCUGAUUUUGGAUGGCAUCCUCGGGGCUGCGAGCUUUUUAUCACACACACGCUUUGUUUUGUAUCAGAAUGUAGCGGCGCGCAAAAGCGCAAAAUAAUAUACAACUUUCAGCAACGGAUCUCUUGGCUCUCGCAUCGAUGAAGAACGCAGCGAAAUGCGAUAAGUAAUGUGAAUUGCAGAAUUCAGUGAAUCAUCGAAUCUUUGAACGCACCUUGCGCUCCUUGGUAUUCCGAGGAGCAUGCCUGUUUGAGUGUCAUUAUAAUUCUCAACUGCCUUUUAUGGUGAAGUUGGAUUUGGAGGAUCUUGCUGGCAGCUCUUUUGUGGGCUUUGUCGGCUCCUCUCGAAUGCAUGGAGCCCUUAAUGAUGCGGAGCGACUCCGAUGUGAUAAUUAUCUACGUCGGGCCCGUCGCCUUUGCUUUUGGGCCUUACAAACGCGUCUGGCGUACUGACAAUUGACCUCAAUCAGUAG